rnacentral:rRNA from 1 species
UACGUGAGGUGCAAGCGUUAUCCGGAUUUAUUGGGCGUAAAGCGUGUCGUAGGCUGAUAUGCGCGUGGCGGGUUUAAGCCCGGGGCUCAACUCCGGAAAAGCUCGUCAUACGGCAUGUCUUGAGUCUGUUAGAGGGAACUGGAAUUCUCUGUGGAGGGGUGAAAUCCGUAGAUAUAGAGAAGAACGCCAAUGGUGAAGACAGGUUCCUGGGACAGUACUGACGCUGAUGAACGACAGCUAGGGGAGCGAAAGGG